AGUUGUUACAGUUCUCAGUCCCCUAAGAGGCUGACCAAGUGCUGAGAGGGGCUCCCAGCUUCUCUGCAUUCUGGAAAACCCACCGCAGAGCCCCGCCCUAGUGUGCUUCCGGAGCUUCUAAUGCACUUCUCUAUUACUUCAAGAACACUGUGUAUAAUAAUAAACUCUACAGAAAUAAACCAAAUCACAAGAAGCUUUCAGGUCUGGAGGCUGACAUUUCUCAAGACAGAUGCAAAAACCCAGGCCCAGAGAGAUGAAGAAACCUGGCUAAGGUAACAUGGUCUUUUCCACCCAGGUUGGAGUGAAGUGGCCCAAUAUCAACUCAUUGCAACCUCUGCCUCCUGGCUCAGACUCUCCUCCAGCCUCAGUCUUCCGAGUAGCUGGGACCACAGGUGCACACCACCACACCUGGCUAAUUUUCUGUAUAAAAAUAAAUAAUUUUUCUAAUGCUUUAUCCUGAAUCUGAAUUUGGGCUUCAGCUGUGAGGUUCACAGCAGCAGAGCUACUGCCAGAUCAACUGGUUAUAUCUGGUUGAGAGGGGGCGAUUGCUAGUCAGGAAGUUUCUGCUGAUCACGGCUUUGUAAAUGGACCAAAGUUGAUCAUGGUUUUCCUAGAAAAUCAACUAUUCAGAGAAACCCCCCAUCACUACCAUCAUCAUUCUCCCCGUUUCCUCUGCUGAGAAGCUCAACUAAAAGACUGAUUCUGUUUCAGUCACUCAGGGCAGGAAACUUAUUCCUAAGAAUCUGGUUCCUUAUGUUUUUGGCUUUAGUUCUAGACAAUUGAAAGGAUUAGACAUUUUUCAAAGGGCUUUCUUGGAACCUGCUUUCAACCUGCUUGAGAAAACUUCCCCUGUUUGGUUUCCUUGCAUAGCUGAAGCCACUUGAUAACAGAAAGUGAUAACUCUAGCAUUAACGGUUGGAAACCACAUGCAUUGCUCACUCACCUCCCUUCAUAAGUGCAACACUUCUUGCUCACUAUCUUGACUUUGGUUUGAGACAUACUCUGGCUGACUUUCAAGGGAGUUACAAGUUACAAAAGAAACUUGUCCAUAAAAUAAACACCCUAUCUCCUUGUUUAUUUAAGAGUAUCUCUUAAUCCUGGUCUGAUUUAGUUGGAUAAUUAAGGCUUGCUAGAAUUUUAAAAGCUAAAUUCAUCAGGCAGUUGUCAAAUCAUCACUUUGGGCUGGGGAGAUUGGGUUUGAGUAAUUUGAAUAAUACAAUAUAACUGAAAAGACAGAUGUCUGAAGAAGGUCAUGCACUUAUGAUAUUGUGCUCUGACUCUGUUAGUCAGCAUUUCAGAUAGAGCAUAAUACAUUGAUUUGAUAAAACAUUUUUCUGAAUCCCUCUUUCUACAUUAAUGUUUAUAUUUUCAAAACGAUUGUUUGAAAGAAAGUGUCUUAUAGAAUCCAUUGUUUGGCAUCUUGGUAACCAAAGAAAUGGGUGUCUGACUGAAUUAAACCUUUUUAAAAACUGGAGUGCACUCAAUAUAGUUGCCAUAUGCAUCCUAGUCUAUUUUGUAUUUGACUUAAACCCAGACGUGAAGCUGUAUGAAAUUGUAGUCCAGAA
rnacentral:lncRNA from 10 species